rnacentral:rRNA from 1 species
GACGAACGCUGGCGGCGUGCUUAACACAUGCAAGUCGAGCGGUAAGGCCCUUUCGGGGGUACACGAGCGGCGAACGGGUGAGUAACACGUGGGUGACCUGCCCUCAGCUCUGGGAUAAGCCUGGGAAACCGGGUCUAAUACUGGAUAUGACUCCAUGACGCAUGUUGUGGGGUGGAAAGCCUUGUGCGGCUGAGGAUGGGCCCGCGGCCUAUCAGCUUGUUGGUGGGGUGANGGCCUACCAAGGCGACGACGGGUAGCCGGCCUGAGAGGGCGACCGGCCACACUGGGACUGAGACACGGCCCAGACUCCUACGGGAGGCAGCAGUGGGGAAUCUUGCGCAAUGGGCGAAAGCCUGACGCAGCGA